UAACACGUGGGGAACCUGCCCCAUAGUCUGGGAUACCACUUGGAAACAGGUGCUAAUACCGGAUAAGAAAGCGGAUCGCAUGAUCAGCUUUUAAAAGGCGGCGUAAGCUGUCGCUAUGGGAUGGCCCCGCGGUGCAUUAGCUAGUUGGUAAGGUAAAGGCUUACCAAGGCGAUGAUGCAUAGCCGAGUUGAGAGACUGAUCGGCCACAUUGGGACUGAGACACGGCCCAAACUCCUACGGGAGGCAGCAGA
rnacentral:rRNA from 1 species